GACGGAAGGUGCAAGCGUUGCUCGGAAUCACUGGGCGUAAAGGGUGCGUAGGCGGCCUGGUAAGUCUGGCGUGAAGGCCCAGGGCUCAGCCCUGGAAGGGCGCUAGAAACUGCGAGGCUGGAGUGCCGGAGGGGAGAGUGGAAUUCCUGGUGUAGCGGUGAAAUGCGUAGAUAUCAGGAGGAAUACCGGUGGCGAAAGCGACUCUCUGGACGGCAACUGACGCUGAGGCACGAAAGCCAGGGGAGCAAACGGG
rnacentral:rRNA from 1 species